rnacentral:tRNA from 1 species
CAGGAUGUAGGAGAGCGGCGCAAUCCGCCGGUUUUGGGAGCCGGAGAACGUGGGUUCAAAUCCCACCAUCCUGA